rnacentral:rRNA from 1 species
CGAUGAUGCCCAGCUUGCUGGGUGGAUUAGUGGCGAACGGGUGAGUAACACGUGAGUAACCUGCCCUUGACUCUGGGAUAAGCCUGGGAAACUGGGUCUAAUACCGGAUAUGACCUUCCAUCGCAUGGUGGUUGGUGGAAAGCUUUUGUGGUUUUGGAUGGACUCGCGGCCUAUCAGCUUGUUGGUGAGGUAAUGGCUUACCAAGGCGACGACGGGUAGCCGGCCUGAGAGGGUGACCGGCCACACUGGGACUGAGACACGGCCCAGACUCCUACGGGAGGCAGCAGUGGGGAAUAUUGCACAAUGGGCGCAAGCCUGAUGCAGCGACGCCGCGUGAGGGAUGACGGCCUUCGGGUUGUAAACCUCUUUCAGUAGGGAAGAAGCGUAAGUGACGGUACCUGCAGAAGAAGCGCCGGCUAACUACGUGCCAGCAGCCGCGGUAAUACGUAGGGCGCAAGCGUUAUCCGGAAUUAUUGGGCGUAAAGAGCUCGUAGGCGGUUUGUCGCGUCUGCCGUGAAAGUCCGGGGCUCAACUCCGGAUCUGCGGUGGGUACGGGCAGACUAGAGUGAUGUAGGGGAGACUGGAAUUCCUGGUGUAGCGGUGAAAUGCGCAGAUAUCAGGAGGAACACCGAUGGCGAAGGCAGGUCUCUGGGCAUUAACUGACGCUGAGGAGCGAAAGCAUGGGGAGCGAACAGGAUUAGAUACCCUGGUAGUCCAUGCCGUAAACGUUGGGCACUAGGUGUGGGGGACAUUCCACGUUUUCCGCGCCGUAGCUAACGCAUUAAGUGCCCCGCCUGGGGAGUAC